rnacentral:rRNA from 1 species
CCUACGGGUGGCAGCAGUGAGGAAUAUUGGUCAAUGGACGAGAGUCUGAACCAGCCAAGUAGCGUGAAGGAUGACUGCCCUAUGGGUUGUAAACUUCUUUUAUAAAGGAAUAAAACGUGGCACGUGUGCCUGUUUGCAUGUACUUUAUGAAAAAGCAUCGGCUAACUCCGUGCCAGCAGCCGCGGUAAUACGGAGGAUGCGAGCGUUAUCCGGAUUUAUUGGGUUUAAAGGGAGCGUAGAUGGGUUGUUAAGUCAGUUGUGAAAGUUUGGGGCUCAACCGUAAAAUUGCAAUUGAUACUGGCAGUCUUGAGUAGAGUAGAGGUAUGCGGAAUUCGCGGUGUAGCGGUGAAAUGCUUAGAUAUCACGAAGAACCCCGAUUGCGAAGGCAGCUUACUAACCUGUGACUGACAUUGAGGCUCGAAAGUGUGGGUAUCGAACAGGAUUAGAUACCCGAGUAGUC